GACGAACGCUGGCGGCGUGCUUAACACAUGCAAGUCGAACGCUGAAGCUCAGCUUGCUGGGUGGAUGAGUGGCGAACGGGUGAGUAACACGUGAGUAACCUGCCCUCUUCUUUGGGAUAACGCCCGGAAACGGGUGCUAAUACUGGAUAUUCACUGAUUCUCGCAUGGGGGUUGGUGGAAAGGUUUUUUCUGGUGGAGGAUGGGCUCGCGGCCUAUCAGCUUGUUGGUGGGGUGAUGGCCUACCAAGGCUUUGACGGGUAGCCGGCCUGAGAGGGUGACCGGUCACAUUGGGACUGAGAUACGGCCCAGACUCCUACGGGAGGCAGCAGUGGGGAAUAUUGCACAAUGGGCGAAAGCCUGAUGCAGCGACGCCGCGUGAGGGAUGGAGGCCUUCGGGUUGUAAACCUCUUUCGCUCAUGGUCAAGCCGCAGCUUUGGGUUGUGGUGAGGGUAGUGGGUAAAGAAGCGCCGGCUAACUACGUG
rnacentral:rRNA from 1 species